rnacentral:rRNA from 1 species
AUUGAACGCUGGCGGCAGGCCUAACACAUGCAAGUCGAGCGGCAGCGACUUAACUGAACCUUCGGGGAACGUUAAGGGCGGCGAGCGGCGGACGGGUGAGUAAUGCCUGGGAAUAUGCCUCAGUGUGGGGGAUAACUAUUGGAAACGAUAGCUAAUACCGCAUAAUCUCCGAUCUUUUACGAGAUGGGAGCAAAGCGGGGGACCUUCGGGCCUCGCGCGCUGAGAUUAGCCCAGGUGGGAUUAGCUUGUUGGUGAGGUAAUGGCUCACCAAGGCAACGAUCCCUAGCUGGUCUGAGAGGAUGAUCAGCCACACUGGAACUGAGACACGGUCCAGACUCCUACGGGAGGCAGCAGUGGGGAAUAUUGCACAAUGGGGGAAACCCUGAUGCAGCCAUGCCGCGUGUGUGAAGAAGGCCUUCGGGUUGUAAAGCACUUUCAGUAGGGAGGAAGGUAGUGUAGUUAACACCUGCAUUAUUUGACGUUACCUACAGAAGAAGCACCGGCUAACUCCGUGCCAGCAGCCGCGGUAAUACGGAGGGUGCGAGCGUUAAUCGGAAUUACUGGGCGUAAAGCGCAUGCAGGCGGCCUGUUAAGUCAGAUGUGAAAGCCCGGGGCUUAACCUCGGAAUUGCAUUUGAAACUGGCAGGCUAGAGUCUUGUAGAGGGGGGUAGAAUUUCAGGUGUAGCGGUGAAAUGCGUAGAGAUCUGAAGGAAUACCAGUGGCGAAGGCGGCCCCCUGGACAAAGACUGACGCUCAGAUGCGAAAGCGUGGGGAGCAAACAGG